rnacentral:sRNA from 1 species
ACUAGGGCGACCCCUGGUGGCGGGAGGUCCUCAGCCCUCACCGGCCUAUCCCGCAGGCCGCCUGUGAGACCUUCUGUGUGGGAGAGGAUGCCAAGGCCGCCGCCCGAGACAUCUUCAGCCCCAAACGGAGCUGGAAGCGCCAGAGGUACCGGCUGAGCGCCCAGGCCGAGGGCCUGCAGUUGCUGCCAGGUCUGAUCCACGUGCACAGGCGGAAGAUGUUCCAGGCUACAGUCCUCUCAGUGGAAAACCUGCAAAGCAGCAAGUCCACGAGGGCCACCAUCCUGGUGCGCCUGGACACCGGAGGCCAGGAGGGGCUGCAGUAUCAGCCGGGGGACCACAUAGGUGUCUGCCCACCCAACCGGCCCGGCCUUGUGGAGGCGCUGCUGAGCCGCGUGGAGGACCCGCCGGCGCCCACUGAGCCCGUGGCAGUAGAGCAGCUGG